AGCUCAUGUCCCCCGAAGCCUUGCUCCAAUUCUGUGUGUUGUAGACUGCUGUUUUUCAGUUUUUCACCGUUAUUACUUUGACAAGGUUCCAGGAGCUUGUUAUGGUCUCCUACCUUAUCUCUACGUGACUAAGGUGGGUCAAGAUAAAGGUCUGGAGUGGAAUCAGCUGGGCUGAAAGUUCUAAAUGGAACUUUGGUGGGGAAGUGUUCCAUGUCAGAACCAGGGGAGCUCUCAAAAUUUGAAGCAGAUGAGGCAGAAGGUCUCAUGGCAGAAUGGAGGAAUUUAUUGACACCACACCUUUUUGCCCUGGGCCCAUAUAUUUCUUUGAUCAGUUAAAACCUAAAGUAAGAAGAUGGAGAAAGGAAACACAGAAAGACCCAUUCUUGGACCCAAAGGAGAAGGAUGAGUAAAACAUUUGGAAUUCCUCUUCAUCUUCUGCUAUUACUUUACAUUUGCAAAGGCUUACCAUGCUACACUGAACACCCGGGUUUCCCCUUGCUCGCUUCCCCUGAAAACUACACCAAGGAAUCACCACUACAGAUCCCACCGCGACUGCACUCAAUGGCUGACUUAAGCGUGUUCCUCACACUCGCCAGUCACUGCCUUCUUCACGAUUUUGCAGCAAACCCUAUUCCUGCCUUAGGGAGUCUGCCCUAGAUGUCACCUCCGCUUUCUGCAUGGCUCCCCCACCCCCUAUUCCCUUAGACUCUUCACUUGAAAAGCACCUUUGUGAUGAGACUCGCUCUAAUUUAGAUUGCUGUUCUCUUCCUAACUUGGCACUCUGUGCCUCACUUCCUACCCUCAUUUUUCUGUUGUUUUCUGGCAUUGUAAUUGAUAUUUGUAGGUCAGGCUGGCUUCAGACCCACAGAGAUCUGCCUGCCUCUGUCCAGCAAGUUCUGGGGUUAGAGACACGUGACACCACACUCGUAACUGGUUAUCCUUUUCCCUCUCAAUUGCACUUUCAGAAAAAAAAAAUUAAAAAAAUAUGCUUAAUAAAGACUUGUUGUAAUUGACAACCAUGGAAUCUGUCAAGCUCGGAACUAGACACUUUGUCUUUUAACCCCCUACACACUGUAAUUUUCUUUUUUGUAAAACGGAAAUACAAUCACUCUUAUCUGCAUUUUUCCAGUGUUGAAGAUCUAGUCCAGAACCUGGAGUAUCUCAGGCGAGUGUUUGUUCUAAAAGUCACACCCUCAACCC